rnacentral:rRNA from 1 species
UACGUAGGAUGCAAGCGUUGUCCGGAAUUAUUGGGCGUAAAGGGUGCGCAGGCGGUUUUUCAAGUCAGAUGUGAAAUAUCCCGGCUUAACUGGGAGGGGCCAUUUGAAACUGAAAGACUAGAGUGCAGGAGAGGAUAGCGGAAUUCCCGGUGUAGUGGUGAAAUGCGUAGAUAUCGGGAGGAACACCAGUGGCGAAGGCGGCUAUCUGGCCUGCAACUGACGCUGAGGAGCGAAAGCGUGGGGAGCGAACAGG